GGACUAUCAUGUCGGUCGUGCCUCGGUACGUACUGGUAUUGUUGGUUUCUCCCUUCUGACGAACCAUGAUGUCAUUAAUUUGAUGUCGUGGAGAAUCAGGACUGUUACUUUGAAAAAAUUAGAGUGUUUAAAGCAGGCUCACGCUUGAAUACAUUAGCAUGGAAUAACGGAAUAGGACGUUUGAUUCUAUUUUGUUGGUUUCUAGGAUCGACGUA
rnacentral:rRNA from 1 species